GAUGAACGCUGGCGGCGUGCCUAAUACAUGCAAGUCGAGCGAACAGACGAGGAGCUUGCUCCUCUGAUGUUAGCGGCGGACGGGUGAGUAACACGUGGAUAACCUCCCUAUAUUACUGGGAUAACUUCGGGAAACCGGAGCUAAUCCCGGAUAACAUGUUGAACCGCAUGGUUCAACAGUGAAAGACGGUCUUGCUGUCACUUAUAGAUGCAUCCCCGCCGCAUUAGCUAGUUGGUAAGGUAACGGCUUACCAAGGCAACGAUGCGUAGCCGACCUGAGAGAGUGGUCGGCCACACUGGAACUGAAACACGGACCAGACUCCUACGGGAGGCAGCAGUAGGGAAUCUUCCGCAAUGGGCGAAAGCCUGACGGAGCAACGGCGCGUGAGUGAAGAAGGUCUUCGGAUCGUAAAACUCUGUUAUGAGGGAAGAACAAAUGUGUAAGUAACUAUGGACGUCAUGACGGUACCUAAUCAGAAAGCCACGGCUAACUACGUG
rnacentral:rRNA from 1 species